rnacentral:tRNA from 2 species
GCCCGGAUAGCUCAGUCGGUAGAGCAUCUGACUUUUAAUCUGAGGGUCCAGGGUUUAAGUCUCUGUUCGGGCG